rnacentral:rRNA from 1 species
UACGUAGGGCGCAAGCGUUGUCCGGAAUUAUUGGGCGUAAAGAGCUCGUAGGCGGUUUGUCGCGUCUGCUGUGAAAACUCGAGGCUCAACCUCGGGCUUGCAGUGGGUACGGGCAGACUAGAGUGCGGUAGGGGAGACUGGAAUUCCUGGUGUAGCGGUGAAAUGCGCAGAUAUCGGGAAGAACAUCAGUGGCGAAGGCGGCCUGCUGGGCUGUUGCUGACGCUGAGGCGCGACAGCGUGGGGAGCAAACAGG